GCACCCCGGCUGGGUCCCCCGCACCGAGGAGGGUCCCCUGUGCGCCGGGUGGCGCUCACAUGGAGCAGCCCCCCCGGCGGUGCCUCUGUCGUGGAGGACGCUGAGCCCCGGGUGCUGUCUGCCCUCCCCCCGCGCAGAGUAAGGCUCGCUAGCCCCGCUGCGUCCCCGCUCGGGGCCCUUGUCACACCGCCAGUUUUUCGUCUCCGAAUGAGAGGGUGGGAACCGAGGACCUGGGAGGGCCCCUCCCAGUUCUCAGUCGGAGGCUCCCGUGUGGACCCCCACACGGUGCGGACCCCCUCACGGUGGCAUUGCAGGAGAGCUGGUGUAGACUGGCCCAGGGUGGCCGGGCGGUGAGGUGGCCUCCCAGCAGCCCAUUCAGAUGCGUCGGGGGCGGGUUGUCACAAACCUGAAGUUUUUAGGAACAGCAGCUCAAGAUGCCCAGCAGGGGAACAGUUUGGUCCUUUUGAGCAGGAAAAAAGGUUCCUUUGAUGUGAUCUCCCAGUCAGCGGCUGGGGGUAAGUUCCCAUUCCCAGGGCUUCUCACCCCUGACGCUGGACGUGGUUGGGUCUUGUUUGUGCACACUAGAGGAGGAUCUGUUCACAGAACGCUUUUUCUGAGGUUGAAAGGAAGACCCUGGUUUUGUCGGAAUUCCCCUUUGGGCACAGGGGAACACUGAGUUCUGUGACAGCAUAAAGCCGAAGCCCCUACAGUCCGGAGGGAGGGAGGGAGCAGGAGCGUCUGAGAGCGUUCACACACGUGGGGCCUGUGUUGUCCCGUGCUGCUUCUCUGUUGACUCCAUCUUAUUUAUUUGAGAGAGAGUUCGAGAGAAGAGUGCA